rnacentral:rRNA from 1 species
GCUAGUAAUCGCGAAUCAGAAUGUCGCGGUGAAUACGUUCCCGGGUCUUGUACACACCGCCCGUCACACCAUGGGAGUCAGUAACGCCCGAAGCCGGUGACCCAACCAAUUCAGGAGGGAGCCGUCGAAGGUGGGACCGAUAACUGGGGUGAAGUCGUAACAAGGUAGC